UUCAAUUAAAGUAUUAUUAAAACAAAAAUAACAAAAUAAAGUUUAAUUUCAUUGAACGGGUUAGAUGGUAAGACGAGUUUGGAUCGAUAAAAUACGAGACGCUAAACCACAUGUGAAAUCCAUUAGAUAUGUUUGAUUUCACUGAACGAGAUUAGAUGAUAUGACGGGUUUAGGUCGAUAGUAAUACAAGACGGUGUACCAUAGGUGAAAUCUUAGAUAUAAAAAUUAAAAUACAAUUAUAUUAUCUUAAACACUAAA
rnacentral:sRNA from 1 species